GCUUCGAAUGAUCGCGCCGGUGCCCCGAAAGGGGCUUAAUCGGGAAUGCGGUGCGGGAAGGUCUCUCCUUCCCAAAACCGCGGCUGUCCCUGCAACUGUGAGCGGAUAGCGAGAUGCACACGGUUCCCUUCCUCACGCGAAGGGCCGGCCACUGGAUGAAGCCGCAAGGCGAUCCGGGAAGGCGUGCAUCAAGCAGUGACCCGCAAGCCAGGAGACCUGCCGGCGCACCGGUCGCUCU
rfam:Novosphingobium pentaromativorans TS6-1 contig00008, whole genome shotgun sequence.